AGCUGCUCUAUCACUCCCCCACUCAACUGGACAGGGGAGAGAAAAUAUAACAAAAGGCUCAUGGGUCGAGAUAAGGACAGGGAGACAUCAUUCACCAAUUAUGAAUUUUGCCACUUCAUGGGCAAAACAGACUCGACUUGGGGAACUUAGUUUAAUUUAUUGCCAAUCAAAUCAGAGUAGGAUAAUGAGAAAAUAAAAACUAAAUCGUAAAACACCUUCCCUCCACCCUCCCUUCUUCCCGGGCUUAACUUUACUCCUGAUUUUCUCCCACUCCUCUCCACCAGCAGCGCAGGGGGAUGGGGAAUGGAGGUUGUGGUCAGUUCAUCACACCUUGUCUCUGCUGCUCCUUCCUCCUCAGGGGGAGGACUCCUCACACUCAUCCCCUGCUACACCAUGGGGUCCCUCCCACGGGAGACAGUCUUCCACGAACUUCUCCAACGUGGGUCCUUCCCACGGGCUGCAGUUCUUCAUGAACUGCUCCAGCAUGGGUCCCUUCCAUGGCGUGCAGUCCUUCAGGAGCACACUGCUCCAGCGUGGGUCCCCCACGGGGUCACAAGUCCUGCAAGAAAACCUGCUCCGUGGGCUCCUCUCUCCACAGAUCCGCAGGUCCUGCCAGGACCCUGCUCCAGCACGGGGUUCCCACGGGGUCACAGCCUCCUUCAGGAACCCACCUGCUCCGGUGUGGGGUCCUCCACGGGCUACAGGUGGAUAUCUGCUCCACCGUGGACCUCCAUGGACUGCAGGGGGACAGCCUGCCUCACCAUGGUCUUCCUCACUGGCUGCAGUGGAAUCUCUGCUCCAGCGCCUGGAGCAUGUCCUCCCCCUCCUUCUUCACUGACCUGGGGGUCUGCAGGGCUGUUUCUCUUGCAUGUCCUCACUCCUCUCUCUGGUUGCAGUUUCUGUGCUGCAGCAACUUUUUUUUCCCUUCUUAAAUACGUUAUCUCAGAGGCACUACCACUGUCACUGAUGGGCUCAGCCUUGGCCGGCGGCGGGUCUGUCUUAGAGCCAGCUGGUAUUGGCUCUGUCGGACAUAGGGGAAGCUUCUAGCAGCUUCUCACAGAAGCC
rnacentral:lncRNA from 1 species